UACGAAGGGGGCAAGCGUUGUUCGGAAUUACUGGGCGUAAAGGGCGCGUAGGCGGUGCGUUAAGUUAGGCGUGAAAGCCCUGGGCUCAACCCGGGAACUGCGCUUGAUACUGGCGCGCUUGAAUCCAGGAGAGGUCGGUGGAAUUCCCAGUGUAGAGGUGAAAUUCGUAGAGAUUGGGAAGAACACCGGUGGCGAAGGCGGCCAACUGGACUGGUAUUGACGCUGAGGCGCGAAAGCGUGGGGAGCAAACAGG
rnacentral:rRNA from 1 species